GAUGAACGCUGGCGGCGUGCCUAAUACAUGCCAGUCGAGCGAACGGACGAGAAGCUUGCUUCUCUGAUGUUAGCGGCGGACGGGUGAGUAACACGUGGAUAACCUACCUAUAAGACUGGGAUAACUUCGGGAAACCGGAGCUAAUACCGGAUGAUAUUUUGAACCGCAUGGUUCAAAAGUGAAAGACGGUCUUGCUGUCACUUAUAGAUGGAUCCGCGCUGCAUUAGCUAGUUGGUAAGGUAACGGCUUACCAAGGCAACGAUGCAUAGCCGACCUGAGAGGGUGAUCGGCCACACUGGAACUGAGACGCGGUCCAGACUACUACGGGAGGCAGCAGUAGGGAAUCUUCCGCAAUGGGCGAAAGCCUGACGGAGCAACGCCGCGUGAGUGAUGAAGGUCUUCGGAGCGUAAAACUCUGUUAUUAGGGAAGAACAUAUGUGUAAGUAACUGUGCACAUCUUGACGGUACCUAAUCAGAAAGCCACGGCUAACUACGUG
rnacentral:rRNA from 1 species